CUUAACUGCAGCCUCUUCUCAAACAAUGGAGUCUCUUUGUGUCAGUGUCAGAAGAAUGAUAGUUAUAAAUCUAAUGGACAAUUAAGAAUGCAAGGCAGAUCCACAAAUAAGCGUUUAUUAUACUAGAAACCAUUUUGUGUGGUGGAAAGGAGUGGGUAAUCAGUAUUUCCAAUGAACCCAUUUUCCACUCUGGAAAUCUGAAUUCUGCUUUUUGUGUCUUGCAGCCCAUAUUUUCUCAGCUGGAAACCUUUGUUUGGGUUUACGUUACUGAACUUUGUAACAUAACUGCAAUUUGAUGAUACUUAACUGAGAUAGAGGAAACAGUAUAGCUUUCAAACCUUUUCCUAAAAGAAGAAAAAAAAAAAAAAAAAAGGACAAUUUUCAACAUUUAUGUGAUUAGAACCUGUCAUUUUAUGUUGUUGUUUUCAGACUGACACAAGUGACAGGACAAAGAAGCAUACAUGGAAAUAGAAUGAAAAUUCAGAACAGAUGUCAGGACGCAUUCUUCAUUCUGAAUGUGCAGAGCGGUCAACCAGGCACAGAGAUACUGAUUUGGCAAUAGCCUGUACAGCAGAAGAAAACCUAUUGUGGGAAGAGAAGGAGCUUGGUGAGUGUAUGAAAAUGCAUUACAGGCUGCAGGCAAUUGCAGUACCAAUUGUUGACUACUUAAGAAUUUU
rnacentral:lncRNA from 1 species